GAUGAACGCUGGCGGCGUGCCUAAUACAUGCAAGUCGAGCGAACAGACGAGGAGCUUGCUCCUCUGACGUUAGCGGCGGACGGGUGAGUAACACGUGGAUAACCUAUCUAUAAGACUGGGAUAACUUCGGGAAACCGGAGCUAUACCGGAUAAUAUAUUGAACCGCAUGGUUCAAUAGUGAAAGACGGUUUUGCUGUCACUUAUAGAUGGAUCCGCGCCGCAUUAGCUAGUUGGUAAGGUAACGGCUUACCAAGGCGACGAUGCGUAGCCGACCUGAGAGGGUGAUCGGCCACACUGGAACUGAGACACGGUCCAGACUCCUACGGGAGGCAGCAGUAGGGAAUCUUCCGCAAUGGGCGAAAGCCUGACGGAGCAACGCCGCGUGAGUGAUGAAGGUCUUCGGAUCGUAAAACUCUGUUAUUAGGGAAGAACAAAUGUGUAAGUAACUAUGCACGUCUUGACGGUACCUAAUCAGAAAGCCACGGCUAACUACGUG
rnacentral:rRNA from 1 species